CUCGCUCUGGGUGGUGUCCUCAAGCCGGUGCCGCGAGUGUGGCCGCCUGCCUGGCUCCGCUGGUCUGGCUGAGUCAGGCUCUGCUGCCAGCAUAGUGACCCUGGGACAGCUGAGAAUGGGGACUGGCGACAAACAGGAGGGAGGGGAAGGGGUGUGGCCAGGUUGGGGAAGGAGCGCUGGACCAGGAGCUGGCCCACCAGAUUCCCAUGGGAGCCUCCUCUUGGAGGACUGUGUGACCGAAAAGAACUCGCUGAACCUCUCUGGGCUGCACUCAUGCAACGAAAAAUUCCAGUAGACUUGGUGUGCGCCCGGGGCUGGGGCUGCUGCGGUGACCAGGACCCACGUGGCAUAGAAGCCCUGGUUAAGGAUGUGACCUCGGAAUCCCAGUAGCUUUCACACCCUACUGACUGGGUGACCUUGGGCAAGAUAACCAACCUCUCUGUACUUCAUUAUCCUCAUGGGUAGUUUGGUAGUAACACCUGCUCACAGGGCUGUGAGGAUUAAAUAUAUGCGUAGGUGUGAAAUCCUAAGACUAGUGUCUACUAGGCACUAUUAUUAAGUGUAUAAGAAUCUUCAUUAUUAGCUAUCGCUAUCUUUACCCUCCUGGAGCUUGUAUUCACUGACUUUAGUUUUAAAUUUCCUUUUUAUUAUGAACCAUCUGAUAUAUAUAUAUAUAAAAAACACUGACAGUGUGUUCCCAUCACCCUAUUUAAGAAAUAAAGCAUUAUAAAUCCAUUCUAUUUGCUCUAACUUUAGUCAAGCCUUGAUAUUUCCUGCUUCCAAAACCUCUGAAAUCCGCUGCCUCCGACCCAUCCUCUGCAGUGCUCGCAGUCUGGGUGAGAUCCACAUCAAACACAAAUGGGACCUGGCCAUGACUCUGCUUGAAAAUGUCCACCUAUAAGAUGAAGAUAAAGUCAUGCACACCCCCUUCACUUCUGAUCCUCACUGAUUCUUCCUGUUUGGUCUCUGCCGCCCACUUUGGUAAGUUCCUCUUACUAUUUCUUAAAUAUCUCUGUUCUUUGUGUAUGUUGGCCCCUCUCUCUGGGGUCCUGUGCAUUCCUUCCCUCUCUCACUCAUUCCAGGAGAAACACCAUCUUUUGAAUCCCCCCGGGCUCCUGAGCACCUUCCCCACUGGUGUGUGUGUCCCCAUCUGUCCAUGUGUCUGUCUGUCCUCCCCUAGACUGUAAGCUCCUGGCAGUGGGCCCUCCAAUGACUCAUUUUCAUCUGCUCCUAGUAAAAGAAAGGCAUGUCCUACACUACAGUUGUAGUUGACUGUAGUUGACUGUGUCUGGGGCACCCUGUCCUAGGGUGUCCACCCAGUGACUCCAAUGUCAUCCUUUUCAUGGGAUGACAUUACAGUCCCUCAGCAGUAAAAUCACUGGGGAAGAAUACAGAGAUCGUUAAAUGGGGUCCCCAUUUUAAAGACACUCCAGCACAGUGCUGUUUUCCUACUGUGCCCAGUCCCCCUUCCGAGCCCGUUCCUACUCCUCCCUGCUUCUUGCUCCAUCCCUGUCUCCUCUCACUGAGGACACUGGGUUCCUCAUGAGGAGUGGAUCUUCCCCAGGGACUAAGAUACAGGACAUGCAGUGACCGUGUCAUGGAUCCAAGAGGCUUGUGGAUUUGGGGAAACCGAGUGGAUGUCAAGCCUGGCUCCAGAGAGCCCAGGUUCUAGGAGCAGAGAAGAAAUGCUCCCAGCCUGUUUCUAACCGGUCAGCUAUAUUUGCGAAGCAGAUUCUUUUCACAGAAAGAGGGAAACCUAAGUCCCCAUUUAAGCAAGUUGGAAAUAAACUGAAUGAAAGGGACCAUGUCUGUUUUGUUCACUGCCAUGCAUCACCCCACUCCUCCUGGAGCCUAGAACGGUACCUGGCAUAGAGGAGGAUGCUCAGAAGAAAUGACUAAUGAAGGUGGAAGUGUCCAGGGCCUACGGAAGUUGGAAUGCAGCUCUGCACACAGUCCUGGGCUCUGGAAGGCAGGCGUUGGCCACUGUGCCCCUCAGCCCCUUCCCCGACCGAGCAUGGCUGGUGCCAGUGGGCAUUGAGGCCAGAGAUGUUUAUCACACACCUGCUGUGUGCCAUCAGGUGUGUCUCGGUCGGCCUGGGAAGAGUAGAUAUUACAUAGAAAACCAAGGGCAAGGGCAAGACAAGACAGGAUGCGCUCUCCAAUGGUGGUCAAGUCUUACUUUUAUCUCUUCUUGGCUUUGUCAUGUUGUCUGUCACUAACUAGGUCAUGCCCUCUUUGGUGACAGAGUGGUUUCAUAUGUUGAAUUCUACAGCCAACCAUUUUUUGUUGAUUUAUUCUUUUCUUCAGCCAAUGUUUACUAAUAUUCAUAAUUCAGGUUUUUAAAAAGAUUUAUUCAUUAGAGAGAAAGAGAGCACAUGUAUGAGGGUGGGGGUGUGUAGGAGCAGAGGGUAAAGGAGAGAGAGAACUCAGGCAGACUCUGCGCUGAGUGUGAGCCUGAUGCAGAGCACGAUCCCACAACCCUGAGA